GCGAGGCGGGUGGCGCGCGGCAGCAGGGUUGGGCUCUCGCCGUGAGUCGACGAAGGGAGCGCGGGCGCGCGCCCGCGUCCGCGCACUGAGAGUCGCCUCGGCCGCUCGCUUUCUCGACUCCCGCCUCGCGCCUCGAUCCUGUUCCGCCUCCCUCGGCCCUCCUGCCCGCCCCCACUCGUCGGCCCUCAGCUCAGAGACCUAAUAGGAUGGGGUCUUAGAGAAACAUCUUUUGAGCCACAGACUUCUUUGUUACCAGAAGGAAAAUGAAAGAAGAAAUUUAAAUACCACUUGAAGAGAGGUGCUGCCCAGUUCAUGAGUGCUGCUGCUGUCCUGCCCAAGUACCCAGCUUGCAGAGUGCCAGAGUUAGAGUCCCAGGGGUGUUCUCCACAGCUGCAUGCUUGAUCCAGGCCUAUCAGGUGUUAUUUGUUGACGGAACCAGGCAUCAUCAGCAAACAAAACUGACAAAGCUUCCUGCCCUCUGUGGAAGGCAUCUGAGGAAGAGACUGGAUUUUGUAGCAACAUGUUAUUCUCAUUAUAAACUUUAUCAUUGGAAUACUAAAGCCAAAUCAUCCCCCAUCUCCUUGAUCAGGAUACCCACUUAAUCUAGGCAGCUACACAAUUGUGAGAGCCUUUGUUUUUUUCUGCUGAAACAUCCUUAAAAAGAUACCUCACAACCCAAGAUUUGGCUUUUCUUAAAUACGAUUUUUAAUUUUUUUCAUUUCUAUCUAGAGAUUUAAUUGGAAAUGGAAAAUCAUCAAUUUUCCAAUUAAAUGUCUGUUCCAAUCAACAUUAUACCUUUUAGGUUGUCAUUGUCAUUUUUAAGUUUAAGCAACUUUAAGGAUUUUGAAUCUGGCUGCCUGUAAAUUAAAGGUGAAAGUAAUCAUUGUGUUGGAUUGGAACAUUUUGUCAAUUGAGAGUGGUUUCCUUGUUCUUAGUGUAUGAAAAGUUUAUUUUUCUAAUGUAGAUUAAUAAAGGAGAUAAAGAAAAACAAAAUGAGUGAUUUAUGUGUGUGAGAAAAGAACCAUUUCCUCAAGGAUUAAAUAAAAUUCAUACCUUUUGUUUCUUUUGAAAAGUUUUUAAAAUAAAUUUUAAUGAAUGUGUCCUUUAAAUAUUCCUUUAAAAAUGUAUCCUAUUUUAAAAUGGACUCUCUGAGAGAAGGAAUUGAUACCUGUGUUUAAAAUCAAAAAUAGCAUGCAUAGAGACUGUUUUUCUAGUUGGUUGAAGCUUUUUUCCCUCUCCUUUACAUCAGUGAACCAGCAUCUUGCCCUUCAGACCCUACAGCACACUCUUGGGCUCAUGAAGUGUAUGACACAUCCUCCUUGGGGGAUCGGCCAUGUCCUCGCUCUCAUGACCACAUGAAUUCUUCUGUAUGUCUUUUCUCACAGCUGAGUACUCUCUUCCUGACCCCCUUGUGGAAUGGGGAAAGGAGGCUGUGACAUUGUGCUUGUGCAAACAAUAAUUGAGAGCUUUCCGAGUCUCCUGCAUCUUCAUAAAUGAUUUUUUGUUUUAUGCUGGGACAGUAGUUCUUUAAAUAGAAUAUUCUCCCAUGGAAAUCGCCCACAAUGCUGAGAGUACACCUUGCAAAAGGUAAGUCUAGAAUAUAGGGUGCCUCCUCAGCAUUGCCCAGAAGCUGAAGUUAGGACUCUCUAGAAUACCAAAAACAAAUUUAUAGCAGUUCAUUAAUGUAAGGAAUUAUGAAAACUGUGUGCCACCAUUAUCCAUAGAUGAAACAAGAGCCACCACGCAAGCACAGACACAAAGCCCUGAAGAUGAAGCCAUUGACAGGGCUCUCAUUUAUUCUGUAGAAACCCACUUGCCUGUUUUUGAACCAGUUUUCUUUGGAGCAUAUGUCUCACUGUGCAACCAAAGUGGUGUUUAUAUCCUAGUCACUUGGCAAAAAUUCUGUCAUUGCUUCAGGGAGAUCCAUUUUAGGCCUGAAGCAUGGAGCUGGUAAUAGAUGGGAUUUGGUACUUCUGAAGAAAAGACCCUACUGCAAAUUUAGAGAGUUAAUUUUUUCUUUUGUUCCCCAUAAUAUUGUUGCUAGAUAGAACUACCUUUUUUGACUAGAAGUUAAAUAUAGAGGCCUAAAUCAAUUAGGUAACUCCCACUCAUUCUAAAUGAGAACAUGUUUGUUUUUCUCCAACGAGAUGAGAAAUAUUUGAGGCGCUUCCUGAUAUCUCUAUCACCCACUGCAUUUUUUCACUUGAUGUAUAUUUCCCCAUGUAUUUGGGAUAAUUUUCAAAUAAUUGCCCUUUAGAAAUCUACUUGAUAUUAAAUGUAAAAAAAAAGCAAGAUGCAAAAUUAUUAUAGGAUGCAUUUACAGAAAUUACAAAAUUUCUAUAAACUAUUUAUGGAGGAAGACUUAUAGAGUAUAUGUCAACACAUUGCUUUAUUAUUGUCCUUGGUUAUGAGUAUGGUUUUUUUGAAACCUGCUUUGUACUUUGGGUGUUUUCUCACCAUUGGUACAAUUGAGGCAUUUUUCCCUCUUCUUCAACCUUGCAAAUCACACGUGAGGAUGCUCAUAGAAGUGCCUCUCAGACAGGCUGUUGUUUUGCUUUCACCAAUAAAUCAUUUAUAAUUAGAAGUAGAAAACUAUUCUUUCCAGUGCAAAUACAUCCCUUUCAAAAGCAGUUCUCUUUUUGUGAAUGAUGUCUAGUGUCUAAGAAACGAGGGUAACCUUUAUUAUAUGCAUUGCUCUAAUCGAAGCAUUGUUUUUUGCGGUGAACUCAAGGUUACAUGUUUAAGAAAAGCAUCGGGUUAAUUCCAUUAGGAAAAGUGUCUUAUUCAUAAACCUUUAGCCACUGGAAAAACACCAUUAGGAGGCCACACAAGUGUGUAUAGCUGGAUAGAAUUUGACAACUGGCAAAACAAAACAAUAGCCUACAAUUGCAGAGUGCUGUCUGUUUAAAAACCAACAUAUCUUUCACCAACAAAUACAUAUUCACCUCAACACGAGACUUUCAUGUGGUUAUUAAUAUCAAAUUUUUGAAUGUCCAAAUUUUGGAGUGUAGUCUAGCAGAGGUAAACUGAUUUGCCUAAGGUCCUUCAACUGUCAGAGGUAGAAUUAUUUUCUCUCUCCUGGCUCUAAAACCUGUCCAGAUUCUCCUGCAACACUGUCCUUCAAAAACACACUUCCGCUGACUCCAGUGCUGGUGAUGUCAUGCUUUAGCUAGUAGUUAGAGGUGACUUAACUUUAAAUAUGGAAUCUUUUUUUCCUAUUAAGCAAUGAGGUUUAGUUUGAAAAUUCUUAGAGAUGAUAAACCCCUCUCCUUUUUUUCUUCCUUCUCCUCUUUUGUCCUGAACAAUGUUCCAUAUAUAUUACUGCCAGAAACAGAUUCUUGACAUUCCUGUUAUGCUUUUCCACAUCUUGUAAUCAUUUCUACAGCUGUUAGCAUUGCCAACAAUUAUAUUUCCACUUUUAAAAAAUUGUUACAAAGAUGCAGAGAGAAAAGAGGAAAGCCAAGGAAUAAACUACAGGCAAUUAUGGGAUAUUUUUGUGAUGUGACAUUUUGGGAACUGAGGCAGCAUCACUGAUACUGCACUACUUUUUAAUAUCUAGAUUUUAAUCUUUUGUAUGAAGAUAAAAUUCACAUGCCUUAAACCUGACCACAACAUAAUAGGGCAUUUAUUUUUCUAAUUUUGAUACCAUCCACAUUUCUUAACUAUAAGAAGAAUGCUUAUGUUGUACCAGGUUAUAUGAUGUUGCCAAGAAGUAGAUGUGUACCAUUUACUAAUACAUCCUUUUGGAAAAUGCGUAUUAAUAACAUAUUAAGGAGUAAAUUGACGUUGUGCAAAGUGAGCCUGUGAGUUUAAAUGUAUGGAUUGUACACCUUGCUCUUCCUAAUUGCAGAUUUAACAGGAUUUGAUGACCUAAUGAGUUUAUUUCUGAAUGAUUUAUAUUUCUUUGUCAGUUCAAUGAUUUAGUAUUUUAAAUUUUUUUAAAUCACAUUUUAUUGAGAUAAUGCUAUUAGUGUUUCUUUCCCAUCACUUAACAAAGUUAAGUCACUCCUCUCCCACCCCACUUUUGUACCUACCAAUGUUUUUUUCACAGUUACAGGCUGAUUGGCUUGACGUGUCUUAGGAUACCACCCAAAGAGAGCUUCAUUUUAUAAAUACCAAGCUCAUUUUCCUAAAUAUUUUCAAAAAGAUAGAUUUAUCCUCAUAUAGUAAAUUCAGAUUAAUAAUUUUGGAAAGGGUCAUGUGACCAUGGUAUUACAUGGCUGUGGAAGACCCUCCAAGAUCUUGUUUUGGGAUAGAAGGACUCAGACAUCCAAACUUUUAAAUUAAUGAACUUAUUAAAUUCUAAAACUUUGUAACAGUGUUAAUUUGAGAAGUAUAAUAUUUUGCUUAAGGUCUGUUUUGCUUUGCAAAAUGCAUCUCCUUCAUUUUCAUAUUAUGUUGGAAGCUUAGCAUGAAAGAACGUGCCUCAGAGGAAACCAUAGGUAAGCAUACUUUAACAAAAGUUAGUGUCAUCAUGUUUGUGUCUUUGCCUGUGGUUUUUUAAAUGUAUAAUGUUUAACGUUGAUUUGGCUAUCAAAUUACAUUUUCUUUUGUUAAAAAAUUCUGUAAAUUAGAAAUGUACUGAAUCAUUUAUUUAGCAGACUGAAGGUGGGUAAUGUUGGCUGAACAGGUUUAAGCCACAGUAAUUUGAAAAUGUAAAUACAUAAAAUAAUGUCAUUUCUCUUCCACUCAAUGUUUCUUCACCAAAUAAAGUCCAGCCUGCUCUGAAUUUGUUGCCAGUAGGAACAAUGUUACAGUGAAUCAUGGUUUAAUAUACCUUGAAAAUGGCACAUCUGUUCUGUGAUAGCUUACCAAUUUUAGCCUCUUUAUAAAAUACGAAGAGUUUGUCAACCAGAAUAAUCUAGAACCUGGCAAUUCAAAUACCAUUCAAAGCAAAUGUUUUAUCUAAUAACUGGAACUAAAUGUUAGGCCUCAUGACAGUUCAAUAUUUACUAAAUAAGUUUAAUAACAGGGUAAGCCCUCAGUAUCCAGAGCAGAGACAAGCACACCAUAUUUACACAUACAAAUUCUGCCUUUAGCCAUCUGAAAGGGCCCCGAACUAUUGCAGCAAGCAAAGAGUCUUUGCAUUGUCCUAAAAUCCAUACAAUACUUUAUAUUUUACACAUUUUAAUAGCUAGUUUAACAAAUAACAAGUACCAUGCUUAAUUCUCUGCAUGCAUUAUUUCAACUAAUUAUUGGAAUAAUCUUAUAAAGUGGGUACUUUCGUCUCAGCUUACAGGUGAGAAAACAAAAGUUAAAUAGAUCGCCCAGGGCUCUGCUGGAACGUGUUAAGCAGGGAUUUCAGCCUGUCCAGUCAGACCCCAGAAGUUGUGUUCUUAACCAUUAGCAACACAUCAUCCCAGGCAGGCCCUACAUGAGCCUCAUAACCAAUUUUAUGCUGGAUAGUAUUAUCCCUAUUUCACAGAUGGCAAAACUGAGGUCCAGAGACUUUAAGUGACCUACCCAAAAUUACAGUCAUGAGCAGAGGCACUGGAAUGUAGGGCCUUGACACUCUACCUCACGUGGUCCUCUUUCCUGUUUUGGGUAGUUCUCCACUACCACUACUCAUUUCUGAUGCUGGAAAGGCUGUGUUUUAUACAUUUCUGUUUCUGGCUUGGAACGAAACACUCUGGGUCUCUGCUUGAUCAGUGUCCCCUCUAAACUGCACCUCACUACAGUAGGGAUGGCAUAAGAUACUUCUUUACACAGCAUCUUUUUGUUCCCACCUCACCCCCAGAGCUGUAAUAGGUAGAGCCAGCCAAAUGUCAAAGGGAUGAUUUGUCUUGUCACCACUAGUUUCCCUUUUCUCUGCCUUGUAUGUAACAGGAAUAUUCUUUAGUUCCUCCUUAUGUUCUAAAGCACCUCCCCAACCUAAAAAUAGAAGAGGAGUUGUGGGUCAUUUACACUUUAGUGUGAAUUUGCCCUUGUGACUUUGCCAAGGCUGUUGUGCCUAACCCUUUCAAUCUAACAGCAGAAUGAGAGUCUCUGGACUAUCCUGGCUCCUUCCCUGAGAAGAAUGAACUGGGAAUUGUUGGUCUAGACAUCAAGACUACCAGAGACCUAUUGCUCAGAGAUGUUUGGGCUGUACAAUUUCUGUAGAUAUGGCAUCUGGAGCAGCCUUUUCUAAGCAAUGGCAUUAUCAUUCCAGGCUCUCUCGCUCUUUCCAUCUCUCCACCAGGUGGACUCUUGCCCUCCACCCCUUCCAAUUUGUCAGUGAUUCAGAGAACAUUCUCCAUCCUUCCAAUGAUUACAUUCCUUCAUCUUGCUGGGGCGCCAAUUCAGUGAUGGAGCGGCUCUUGGGAGCAGCCUUGGCUUAUAGUGCAGCUCUCUGCUACCUUCAACAGGCUGGUAUUCGGGGUGCUUAGAUGUGACUGGUUGUACGCACGUGUGUGUAUGUGCAUGUGUGUACAGCAGUAAGAGCUUUCGAGGUAGAUACUUGAGGAAGCCUCAGACAUCUAGCCCCAUUACUGGGGCAAUGUCUUACUUGGGUUUUUCCAGAAACAGACCUGGAGACCAGGAUUCAAGUGCCAGUGGUAUAUUUGGGAUGUGAACCCUGCAAUGCUGGUAGGAGAGUGGAGAAGUGAGGCAAGGAAAGGAAGGCCGUCAAGGGGCGUGUUAGGAGGUCAUUCACCACCGCAGGUAGCCCGCUGGGGACCUCUGGGAGCAAGUGUGGCGCACAAGCCUCAGCAUUACUGCCCUGUGCCUUGAGGAGUAAGGGAUAAGGAUUUUCCCCACCAGUUCCCUGUAGUCCUUGGUGAGAGCUUCUGGGGUGGAGGUUAAGGUCUUUAGGUCAGAGAAAUUUUCUUUAGUUUCGGAAAAAUCUUUCAGGCCGAGGUCCAGACACUCACUGGAACACACUGAAGUGGUUAGGUCCAAGGGCUGUAGGCAGAGCUCCCAUAUCCAUCUGCAGAGGUGUUUCAGGUGGAAGGAGUGGAGACAGCCUUCUCUGCUCCACACUGUCUUCAGCAAGGGUUUCUGUAUCUGUGCAUUGAGGAUUAAAUUAUUCACAUGGUCAGAGAAGCCCAUCACCACUGAUAGUUAUUGUAGGUAUGGAAAACUAACGACUAAGAAGGGAGAAAAAUAUACCAAGCAGUUGGCUUGGCUGAACACAAGUAAAGACUCUUACAGUCACUGGUGUGAACUGCUUAUUAUCAAUGUCUGAUUACAGUGCUGCAUACUAAUGAUUAUGCAUGUCAUUAAAUGUGUCAGAUUAACUUUGUUAUAAAAUUUAUGACAACAUUAAAUUUUAUUCACAUGCUCAGCCUUCAUAAUUUAUUGCUUAUGUAGCAUGGUUUUAACUUCAGAAAAACCUCCAAGACAGUGUUGUCUUGAUGACUACACUGCUUAUCCGUGAGUCUAGUUUUCCUGUUCAUUUGAAAUGUUCACAUUACAUUCAGCUCUGUCUCAAGCACUGAGACAGAGCUGGAAUCAGUGCCCAGCGAUUCCACUUGCCGAGUGAUUGA
rnacentral:lncRNA from 1 species